AACUCGAACAAACAACGGCGCACCAGGCGAGACUUAUACGAAGAUUUUCUCUGGCUUAAAUAUCGGAGGGUCUAGUCGGAACAAAGCUUUAGCAAGUUUUCUGACCUCUUUGGUGUCUUGUAGAUCGAUCAAAACAGCUCAUGUUAGCAAUUUGGAGAACGAUGGCAGCAAUUUUGCACCAUUUAUAUAAAUUGGACGAAAAGUAUGCCAGAAGGAGAAACCAAUUUGACAUGUUUCUUAUUGUCAGUAUAACUAAAGCUAUUUCUACAACUAAGGCGCUUAUGGAUACCUUGGUUCCUGGUGCAGAGCUGCGGGCGGUCUGGAUGGGUAUGUAUUACGCACGGCGUGUGCUUCAGGCGAGUUCAGUCUUACUGGAGGAAAAUUUGGCCACGGUGAUCAGCUGGGUCC
rnacentral:lncRNA from 1 species